rnacentral:rRNA from 1 species
UUUUAUUUGAGAGUUUGAUCCUGGCUCAGGAUGAACGCUGGCGGCGUGCCUAACACAUGCAAGUUGAGCGAUUUACUUCGGUAAAGAGCGGCGGACGGGUGAGUAACGCGUGGGUAACCUACCCUGUACACACGGAUAACAUACCGAAAGGUAUGCUAAUACGGGAUAAUAUAUUUGAGAGGCAUCUCUUGAAUAUCAAAGGUGAGCCAGUACAGGAUGGACCCGCGUCUGAUUAGCUAGUUGGUAAGGUAACGGCUUACCAAGGCGACGAUCAGUAGCCGACCUG